rnacentral:pre_miRNA from 1 species
UAACACUAUCAGUUGAAGCUGCCAGCAUGAUCUUAACCUUCCUCCAUAGUUGAGGAAAGAUCAGAUCAUGUGGCAGCUUCACCCGUUGUGGUA